AACUGGAAAUACCACAUUUCCCCAUAAAUUUGAUAAAUAUCACCUACAAAUAUAUACUUAUUACCCUGAACCCACUUAUCGCCCAGAUAACACUUUUGGUCAAUUUUUGGUUUCUCUCUCUCAACUCUAUCUCAUAGUUCAAGAACAACCUACAAAACCCACAGCUUUGCCCUCAAAACCCAGUUCUUCCUCUUCCUCUCUGUUUUCUUCUCUACCCAAAUCUAAACCCCAAGUUCAUCUUUUUUCGAAUCCCUUCUGCAACCUAAACAAACCCAAACAAAACCAUCUUUUCUGAAUAUGACAGCAUGUCUUGGCAUUAGGUGGCCAUUGUUUGAGCAUUUUGGUCCAAUUUUGGAGGGUUUUGAAGUCAAGGUUUACAUCCCCUCUUCAAGAACAGCUUCUCCAGAAAAUGAAUUGUUGGGAAUAUGCACUGAUGUGCAAGUCAUACACUAGCAUUGGAGACCAUUUUGUGCAUAAUGUACUGUGUAGACAAGGGGUUCUUUGAGAUGCCUUUUGAAGACAAAAGCAAAGCUUCUAUUAUGAAAAUGCUAAGCAAACUUGCAGCAAACUGUACACAACAUUGAUUAUGCUUGUUAUUAUUAGGCCCCAAGAAUUAGUAAGGACAUCUAAGACAUUAUGUAUUCUUCUUGUGGAGCCGUAUGUUUCUAAUAUUUGUGUAAUGUGCUUGAUACUGUUUUUGAGGUCAUUAUUAUAAUGAUAUGAAAUUUUCAUA